rnacentral:lncRNA from 1 species
AUGUGGCGAUCUGUGAGAGGAUUAUGGAGGCGGAGUAACCACAUAAAAAGAGAAGUGCAGAGACCAUGAAAAAGGGUUGUUGAUUCUUUUUGGUCGUUCGUUCUUCCGGCUAUUCUUCCGGGUUGGCUUGCCCCAGUGUGUGGUUCUUCUCUUUGGAUGUGUUCCCCUAGGAGAGGUGAAUUCCUGGGACGUUUGGGCUGGCGUGUGGAGGUAUUGAGGACUAUUGUGGGGUUUCGGCUAUCUGCUGUGCAACAGAUAUAUCAGCGAUCGAGUGGAGAUAUUCAGGACAGAAAGAGUGUGAGUUCUGGAAAGCAAGUGAAGACCAGACCGCGCCAUCGCUAUCGGAGGGAAGUUAAGAGACCUGAUCUGGGACUUCGAUCAAUUGUAUACAUCUGGACUGGGAGUGAUAACGUUGUGAAGUGGACGGAGUCAUCGUUGGAUCGCAGGAUCCUUUGGGCCGAACGCCGCAUGUGAUGUCCCUAUGAAAAGAGGUGGACACGAGAAUUAUUCCUUUUCCCGGUCUCGACCG